UACUCCCAGAAAGCAAAGGACGACCGAAAAGUCAACUAGCGUGAUGGCAAUUUCUACGAAUUAUGCUGGGCAACAGUCAACGAUAACUCAGCAUGAACCUACACCGCCCUUUAUCACC